rnacentral:lncRNA from 1 species
AGCAGGCUCUGUGGAUGCCCAGGUAUGCUGCUCUUAGCUUCAUUUUACAGCACUGAACAUUCUGCAAAGCAGCCCCAGCUCAGGGAAAGGCAAUCAGAAAAUAGUGGGUAAGAGCUAAGGCAGUCCACCAUGGGGGCUGGUUCUUAGCAUAACCACCUGACCUGCCCCCAGGCCACCAGAGGGUGCCAUCCUCGAAACACCUCCCCAGUGGCAUGCAUGGAGGCGGACAGGACCUGUCGGGAGGGAGCAGGCUGAUUCUGAGGCUCUUCACUCCUUUCCAUGCUGACCGCAGAUCCACCCCCAACCUCAGAAAGAAGGUCAAAUGAAGACCUGACUCGCUGCAGGAAACCAGCCAUGCCUCUAACCUUGGCUUUGCCCUUGGCUUCCUGCCUGCCCCAAGAACACCCCUGACUGUUCUCCAGUGCAUCUCGAUUCUACCAUAGCCUGGGGAGACAGCCAAGCUCUUUGCCAUGGCAUCGGCCUCCCUUUCCCUUUUGUUGGAGAAAGAAAAAAACGAAGGAAAGAUGAGCAACAUCUCUCUCCCCGCCAUCUCCUCAUUCUCUUCCUCAGUUUCUUACGAGUGAAAUCACCCAAGAUAUAAAUAACACAUUCUAAAUAAAGCCAUGUUUGACUGCAGCACAAGA